rnacentral:lncRNA from 1 species
AACUCCUCCAAAUGUUUGUGUGGGCAUUCACCUGCAAAACCAUGAAACCUAGGCAACAAAUCUAUCAGUCCAGUGUUGAAAACACAACGAAUAUCCUCCUCACCAAGUGGAAACGACUCCCUAGGAGCACUCUCAUGAGAUCGAGGAGGAACCGUACUGUUCUCAACAUAGACAUCAACAGGAGAAUCAUAAUCAUAGGCAUAGACAGAAUAAGCAGUAUCCACAAAGCCAAAAUAGGUAGACAUGGGAAAGAAGGGGGAAAAAGAAGAAUGCGAUGAAAAUAUGCAACUAAAGCUACCUAAAUGCAACACACAAUGACAAACACACAAAACAGAACAUCAGACUCACAACACAAGACAAAACACAACACACACUAACACAACAAAAGACCUAAAACUGAACCGUUGGUCCCCGGCAACGGCGCCAAAAUUUAAUGGGUGUCGCACCCCAUGCA